AGAGUUUGAUCCUGGCUCAGGAUGAACGCUAGCGGGAGGCUUAACACAUGCAAGUCGAGGGGCAGCAUUUCCUUCGGGAAGAUGGCACCGGCGCACGGGUGCGUAACGCGUAUGCAACCUACCUUAUACAGGGGGAUAGCCCAUGGAAACGUGGAUUAAUACCCCAUCGUACAGUAAUUUCGCAUGUUAUUACUGUUAAAACUUCGGUGGUAUAAGAUGGGCAUGCGUAGGAUUAGCUAGUAGGUAGUGUAACGGACUACCUAGGCAACGAUCCUUAGGGGUUCUGAGAGGAUUAUCCCCCACACUGGUACUGAGACACGGACCAGACUCCUACGGGAGGCAGCAGUGAGGAAUAUUGGUCAAUGGGCGCGAGCCUGAACCAGCCAUCCCGCGUGCAGGAUGACGGCCCUACGGGUUGUAAACUGCUUUUCUGCGCCAAGAAAUCCCCGAUCGUGAUCGGGGUUGACGGUAGCGCAGGAAUAAGCACCGGCUAACUCCGUGCCAGCAGCCGCGGUAAUACGGAGGGUGCAAGCGUUAUCCGGAUUCAUUGGGUUUAAAGGGUGCGCAGGUGGGAAUGUAAGUCAGUGGUGAAAUUCUGCCGCUUAACGGUAGAACUGCCAUUGAUACUGCGUUUCUUGAGUAUGGUUGAGGUAGGCGGAAUGUGUUGUGUAGCGGUGAAAUGCAUAGAUAUGACACAGAACGCCAAUUGCGAAGGCAGCUUACUAAGCCAUUACUGACACUGAGGCACGAAAGCGUGGGGAGCGAACAGGAUUAGAUACCCUGGUAGUCCACGCCGUAAACGAUGUUCACUCGCUGUUUGCGAUACACAGCAAGCGGCUUAGCGAAAGCAUUAAGUGAACCACCUGGGGAGUACGAUCGCAAGGUUGAAACUCAAAGGAAUUGACGGGGGCCCGCACAAGCGGAGGAACAUGUGGUUUAAUUCGAUGAUACGCGAGGAACCUUACCUGGGCUUAAAUGUAGAUUGCAUAGUUUAGAAAUAGACUUUCCCUUCGGGGCUAUUUGCAAGGUGCUGCAUGGUUGUCGUCAGCUCGUGCCGUGAGGUGUCGGGUUAAGUCCCAUAACGAGCGCAACCCCUAUCGUUAGUUGCCAGCGGGUCAUGCCGGGGACUCUAGCGAGACUGCCACCGUAAGGUGAGAGGAAGGUGGGGAUGACGUCAAAUCAGCACGGCCCUUAUGUCCAGGGCUACACACGUGUUACAAUGGCAGGUACAAAGGGCAGCUACACAGCGAUGUGAUGCUAAUCUCUAAAGCUUGUCCCAGUUCGGAUUGGAGUCUGCAACCCGACUCCAUGAAGUUGGAUUCGCUAGUAAUCGGAUAUCAGCCAUGAUCCGGUGAAUACG
rnacentral:rRNA from 1 species